rnacentral:precursor_RNA from 15 species
AAUGUUCGGUUUUCACUGUCGGUGAGUGGCCGAGGUUUCACGUUUUCUAGGCCACGCCGCAAAUAGCCAGCUUGUGGCCUAGGAAAUGAGAAAACUCGGCCACUCUUUCAGCACAUUUUUCAAAUACACG